rnacentral:misc_RNA from 1 species
AAUUGCUUGAUUGAAGGCAGGCAAUGCAGCUCUUCUAAUAGUUGCUCUGAAGAAUAUGUUUCGAAGAGACGGCAAAGGGACACUUCUAGCUCAGAUUUCUUAAUUUUAAGGUCCCCAUAUAUUGGUAGGAGUCAAAUGGCCUUCAAUGAUCUUUGUGACCACUGGUGCUUGCAUGAUCAUCACUACUCAUCUUGCAAUGACAUUAAGAUAAGAGACCUGGCAGAUAAGUUUUUAAGAGGCAUGCCAAGAUUUGUAAAGAUAGUUGAAGUUGGACCAAGAGAUGGAUUGCAAAAUGAAAAAAACAUCAUACCAACUGCUGUGAAG